rnacentral:misc_RNA from 1 species
AAUUCCGUAUAUAUAUAUAUAUAUAUAUAUUGUUUCAUCAAAACGUAACGAUGCCAUUUAAGAAGUGCCAUGCAUGCAUGAGCAACGAACUUGUUGGAAAACUGAAAGAAGAAAAAGUGAAAAAUCUCAGCAAGCGAGCGUCGUCAUCGGGCGGUCAGUCAGUCGACGUAGACGGCGCAUGUAGCCCUGAUCUCGCCGUCGUCGGUGGCGGUGCGCACGCCGAUCCUGCCCAUGUUGAUCAUGGAGACGGCGAAGUCGGCGAAGAAGGUGUCGGCGUAGUAGGAGGCGUUGGUGGCCAUGAGCCUGACGUAGGCGCCGGUGAGGCUGUCCUCCAGCAGCGCAGCGUCGGAGGCCAGCAGCGCCUGGUGGUUGUACACGGAUUUGAAGUACCCCAUGUCGAAGGUGGUCGGCGACACCGGGUCCAGCGGCUGCACGCUGGCCACGUCGGACGGCGACGAGCACACCUCCGUCAGGUUCUUGGCGUACGCCGCGUCCAGCGACGGGUCCUGGUCGCCGGCGCCGGUGUAGUUGUACAGGCGUCCGGAGAAGGACGGGCAGUGCGCGACGCCGAGGGUGUGCGCCGCCGACAGCACCACCAUGUCCUUCAUCGUCAAAUUCUGGGCGGCGAAAUAGCGCGUCAGCACGGUGGCGUUGCCGUCGGCGGGGGGCAGGAGCCGCUGCGCGUCCUCCUUGCGGGACACGUUGCCGUCGCGCCGCCCGGUCUCCACCUGGUACGCGGGGCCCUUGGUGUAGUUCACGGCGUCGCGCGCGGCCAUGGCCAUGAUGUCGGCGCAGGACACCACCAGCGGGCACGCCGCCUCCACCUUGGCCUUCACGUCCUCGAUGGCCUCGUACCCGCGCACCGUCGAGUUGGGGUCCGCGUCCCGCUGCGCCGUCCCGUUGUGGGACUUGAGCAUGAUGGUGGCGUCGCACCCGGCGCCGAAACAGUCGUGGAAGUGGAGCCGGAGCAGGCCCGCGGGGAGCGUCACGUCGUCGGCGAACUUGGCAAGCAGGGCGUCGCGCACCAGGUCCUCCACGCCCGGGCACGUCUCGUUGUAGUACCCGUACUGCAGCUGCGCCUGCGCGCCCAGGGUCGUCAGCGCCGCCACCGCGAGCUGGAGCACCAGCAGCAGCCUCCGGAACAAGGUCGACGACGGCACGCAGGAGGCCAUGGCGGUUGAUGGAUAUUACUGCGACGAUCACGUCGAGCCUGCCAGGGAAUGAAACACCAACUAAAACAACGCAAUGUAUUUAUAGGCCAGCAAUGGAAGAAGAAUGUUCCUUCGUCCGCGGUGGCUGCCGUUGACCUUGCUGGAUAUGCGCGCAGUUCAUGGUCGGCAUGACAUGACCACUACCGGCACCGUCGACGACGUGCAUGCCAUGU